AAGGCAAAAUCCCAGAAGUCCUGCUGACUUGUUCUAUUUAUAUUUUCCCUUGGCAGACAACUCUCCAGAGGCUGAAAUCUUCGCCAAAUACUACUAUGCCAAGAGUUCCAGAGAAUUAAGAGAAAGAAGAAAAUGUGAUUUCAGCUCAUGGCCCAGUUGAAAAGCCACAAGUAAUCCAGUUCCAUUCAACAAAGAAAU
rnacentral:lncRNA from 1 species